CUUUUGCUGGCGACCGGCGCACGGGUGAGUAACACGUAUCCAACCUGCCCUUUACUCGGGGAUAGCCUUUCGAAAGAAAGAUUAAUACCCGAUAGCAUAAUGAUUCCGCAUGGUUUCAUUAUUAAAGGAUUCCGGUAAAGGAUGGGGAUGCGUUCCAUUAGGUCGUUGGUGAGGUAACGGCUCACCAAGCCUUCGAUGGAUAGGGGUUCUGAGAGGAAGGUCCCCCACAUUGGAACUGAGACACGGUCCAA
rnacentral:rRNA from 1 species